rnacentral:rRNA from 1 species
AACGCUGGCGGCGUGCCUAAUACAUGCAAGUCGAACGAACGGAGGAAGAGCUUGCUCUUCCAAAGUUAGUGGCGGACGGGUGAGUAACACGUGGGCAACCUGCCUGUAAGUUGGGGAUAACUCCGGGAAACCGGGGCUAAUACCGAAUGAUARARUGUGGCGCAUGCCACGCUUUUGAAAGAUGGUUUCGGCUAUCGCUUACAGAUGGGCCCGCGGUGCAUUAGCUAGUUGGUAGGGUAAUGGCCUACCAAGGCAACGAUGCAUAGCCGACCUGAGAGGGUGAUCGGCCACACUGGGACUGAGACACGGCCCAGACUCCUACGGGAGGCAGCAGUAGGGAAUCUUCCGCAAUGGACGAAAGUCUGACGGAGCAACGCCGCGUGUAUGAAGAAGGUUUUCGGAUCGUAAAGUACUGUUGUUAGAGAAGAACAAGGAUAAGAGUAACUGCUUGUCCCUUGACGGUAUCUAACCAGAAAGCCACGGCUAACUAC